CAAAAACGAACACACAUAAUUACAAGACACCCAAAACGAUCGUCUCAUUGAAUACCUAUGGAAUACUUCGACAAAACGAGGACACACACUUACACACAUAAUGCAUUUACGUACGCAAAAAUGGUCUGUGUGGAGGAGGAAGUCAUUUAUUUAGUUUAGGUCAAAUUGACACCAUGUUGAAUAUGGAAGUGGAUGGUCUUAAUGGCUCUGUAGAAAGUUAGAAGGAAGCACAAGCAAUGGAAGCGAAAGAUGAAAUUGAAAGAUAUGAUGUGCUCAAUUUGACAUUUCCAAAUUCCAUGAAGAUAAAUUGAAGAAAUUUCCAUGAAAGAUUAAUUCGCAGAGACGAUGGUAUCGAGGUUCGUUCUACCCACACACAAGAAUACAUAGGCAGACCGAUAUAUGGCGUGUACGUACGUGUACACAAGCACACACACAAAUACACACGCACACACACAUACAUAAAACAUACAAGCAGCACAUGUACACCUGUUAUUCUUCGCGAUGUUAAUAAAAGUUUCAAUCCCUCUGUCUCUCUG